AUAAAAUAUGUAAAGAGAAUUGUCAAAAUCACAAUAAGAUCAAAGAAUCACAUGGAGACAGCAAUUUAAAAAACAAUAUCAAUAUUAAUAGUGCUAUUUUUUCAUUAAUGUUUAUUCAUUCUCUUUUUGACGUAUGUCCUUGUAACUUCGUGUAUGCAUUCAUUUGCGUGGGCCAAUAUUUACGAUAGCGUUUUGUUGUUAUUUCAUGAAGACUUCAUCCUUGACUUCUACCUAAUACAAAAAAGAAAGAUUUCGUACCGAUGCCACCCGACGUAAAACAGAAUCACGUGACAUUUUCGAUGUUUUUUUAUCUUAUUAUGUCGUAAAAUGUAGUAUUUAAUAAUUAAAUGUAAAUAUUUUAAAUAACCCGCGAUAUUGUUCUCGAAGUUGCUUUCCUUUGGCAACGUCUGGUGGCAUUGCUUAUAGUCUUGUUGGUGUAUUUGCAUUUCUCAGGACCUUCACAGAACAUGCGCAUGUUCAUGUCAAGUGUAGUGCAAAGGAAUAAUAUUUUGGCUUUCGGGGGCCUAAAAUUAGCUAAAAUGCAUAAGUUAAAGUUCUCACAAAGAGAUAAAGUAAAGAAAUUUAUUACAUUUACACAUACUGGAGAACAAACUGCAAUAUAUUGUUUAGCACAAAAUGAUUGGAAGCUAGACUUGGCAAGUGAUAAUUAUUUUCAAAAUCCUGAGGCAUAUUGUAAAGAACCAAAAAAUACAGUAGAUAAAAAGAAAUUAGAAAUAUUGUUUAGUCGAUAUCAAGAUCCAAAUGAGCCUGAUAAGAUUACAGCAGAUGGAAUAAUGAAAUUUUUGGAUGAUUUGGAUUUAAGCCCUGAAAGCAAAUUAGUAUUAAUAAUUGCAUGGAAAUUUAGAGCAGAAACACAAUGUGAAUUUACUAAAGAUGAAUUUAUGAAUGGAAUGACAGAUCUAGGUGUUGACAGUAUAGAUAAAUUAAAAGCUUGUUUAAGUAGUUUAGAAAAUGAAUUAAGAGAUCCUCAAAAAUUUAAAGACUUUUAUCAGUUUACAUUUAAUUAUGCAAAAAAUCCAGGACAAAAAGGUUUAGAUCUUGAUAUGGCUAUUGCUUAUUGGAACAUUGUAUUAGAUGAUAAAUUUAAGUUCCUGCCUUUAUGGUGCCAAUUUUUACAGGUACAUCACAGUAAGUAAUAAGAUUAUCGAAUGCACGUUCGACUUGUAAUAAUCCUGAACCUUGUGCAAAAGGAUCUAGAUUUUGUAUAUAAUGAGCUGUGUUUUCAAGAGCUCUUUUUAUACUAUAUGGAGAAUAAGAACAACCUUUAGCAACAAGCCCUGAUAUAAGUAUUGCUACAAUAUAAACAUUAUUAUUAACAUUUUUCUUAUUUGUAAUAUCUUAUAUAAUCUUUAUAAAAAAAAAUCAAUAUACCAAUAGCUCCAGUUACAUGAGGAGCUGCCAUGCUUGUACCAUUCAUGAGUUGACUUUUUCUUAAAGUAAAAUUGGGAACACUAGUUAUAGCUCCUCCUGGAGCACAUACAGUAAUUCCAGCUCCACCAUCGAUCAUUGGACCACGAGAUGACCACGUAUACGACAUACCAGGCAUUUUUUCUCUUAAAGAAUAUUCAGCUACCAUCAUAUCAGGAGAAACUUCCUGUUUCCAUUGUACCAAUACGACCAUCUCCAACACUUAAUGAAAUAAUUUGAGCACCAGGAGCUACACCAUUUAAUUCAGGAUUAUCAGGAAAAUAUGCAGCUGCAAUUGAAGCUACGUGUGUACCAUGACUUGCUGCAAUAAUAAAAUUUAUUAUAAAAAAGAA